rnacentral:lncRNA from 1 species
GGAGUGUGCAGGCUGUGAACAACUGGUCUUGUUGACCAUUGGCCGAGGGGAAGGAAUGAGGCGCUGAUGAUGGAUGACUGGGGAGAGCUGUUUAAUUUCCCAAGACCACCUGCCACUCUGUGGCCGUCAUUUUCUGUGCCCUGUCCAUCCAUCAAGUACCCGUGAGGCCAGAGGCACUUCUAAUCUCACUGCCGAGGAGUCCUUGAAUUGUGGUGAGAGGGGAGAUGGGUGCCCUUCUAGGUAGCAGAGAUGAGAAUAUAACUAAACAGGGGGGAAGAUCUGACCAUUCAGGUUGGCUCAAACAACAUGAAAGACCAGCAGUUCAUCGGCAGGGGAUUGGUGGCAUCCACAUUUACUCCUUACCUAGCCACAGCAGAGCAGUGUGCCUGGCCCACACAGAGCUUCCUGUUGUUGGGAGAACGCACAGGAACUCAUCUGGGUGACACUUUCCUCUGCACGGACUGUGAUUGCAUACGCUGCUUUUGCAAAGUGGGACAAAGGCUUGGUUGUCUCUCUGCCCACUCUACCCCAUCCCAUCGACUUGGCAGAGGUGUUGCGUGUGUGCAUGUUUUAAAUGGAGGCUGCUGCUUUCUCUCUGUUGGCAGAGAGCAGCCAAAGAAGGCAGUGGAUGCCCCAUAUGUUAAGGAAAACGCAGUUGGGGGGUGGUACAGUGUCCCUCCUUCUAGGUCCCUUCUCUAAGUCCUGUCCCUGUAGCCUGUUUGAAUAGCAGGUAGUUGUUAAGUCCAACCCAGGUUAGUCUCUGGCCCAUCCCACCAUUCUGAUCCCUUAGCACCAAGCCACUAAAUUUACUGUUCUAGAUGAUUCAGCCACAGCAGCUGCCUCCAGCCUCCCCUUCAACGAUGUGUCGAUUGCCAGCUUUAAAAAUAGCUUAAUUGUUUUUCCUGAUUAUAAAACUAAUCCAUACUUGUUGCCAGAAAAGUUCAGGAAACAGAGUUUGCUGAAGACCCCCC